rnacentral:rRNA from 1 species
CAGUCGCCGCGGUAAAACGUAGGUGGCAAGCGUUGUCCGGAAUUAUUGGGCGUAAAGGGCUCGCAGGCGGUUUCUUAAGUCUGACGUGAAAGCCCCCGGCUCAACCGGGGAGGGUCAUUGGAAACUGGGAAACUUGAGUGCAGAAAAGGAGAGUGGAAUUCCACGUGUAGCGGUGAAAUGCGUAGAGAUGUGGAGGAACACCAGUGGCGAAGGCGACUCUCUGGUCUGUAACUGACGCUGAGGAGCGAAAGCGUGGGGAGCGAACAGGAUUAGAUACCCCUGUAGUCCCUGUCUCUUAUAC